CCUACGGGAGGCAGCAGUGGGGAAUAUUGCGCAAUGGGCGAAAGCCUGACGCAGCGACGCCGCGUGAGGGAUGAAGGUCUUCGGAUCGUAAACCUCUGUCAGCAGGGAAGAACGGUCACUGUGCUAAUCAGCAGUGAAUUGACGGUACCUGCAAAGGAAGCACCGGCUAACUCCGUGCCAGCAGCCGCGGUAAUACGGAGGGUGCGAGCGUUAAUCGGAAUUACUGGGCGUAAAGCGCUCGUAGGCGGUAUGUCAAGUCAAGGGUGAAAUCCCCGCGCUCAACGUGGGAACUGCCUUUGAAACUGGCAAACUGGAGUGUGUGAGAGGUUAGUGGAAUUCCAGGUGUAGGGGUGAAAUGCGUAGAUAUCUGGAGGAACAUCAGUGGCGAAGGCGACUAUCUGGCACAUAACUGACGCUGAGGAGCGAAAGCGUGGGUAGCAAACAGGAUUAGAUACCCUUGUAGUC
rnacentral:rRNA from 1 species